AGGCCACCACUGGGACCCCGGGGCCACCACCGGGACCCCGGGGCCACCACUGGGACCCCGGGGCCACCACCAGGACCCCAAGACCUUGUCCCCAAGGCCACCAACCCCAUAACUGGGUUCCCAAGGCCACCAUCGCCAUGUCCCCAGGGCCUUGUCCCCAGGGCCACCACAUCCCCACCAUGAAGUCCCCAAGGUCUUGUCCCCAGGACCACCGUGUCCCUAAGGCCACCAUGUCCCCAAGUCCUUGUUCCCAUGGCCACCAGAACCCCAAGGCCACCAACCCCAUCCCCAUGUCCCCAAAACCUUGUCCCCAAGGCCACCACCUCCCCACCACGAUGCCCCCAAGACCACCACGCCCCCAAAGCCUCAUCCCCACCACCAUGUCCCCAAGUCCGUGUCCCCAGGGCCACCAGAACCCCAAGGCCACCAUCCCCAUCCCCAUGUCCCCAAGGCCACCACAUCCCCAAAGCCUUAUCCCCAAGACCACGAUGUCCCCAAGGUCUUGUCCCCAAGGCCACCACGUCCCCACCAUCAUGUCCCCAAGGCCAUUGUGUCCCCAAGGUCUUGUCCCCAAGGCCACCAACCCCAUCCCCUUGUCCCCAAAACCUUGUCCCCAAGCCCAUCACGUCCCCACCACAAAGUCCCCAAGACCACUGUGUCCCCAAGUCCUUGUCCCCAAGGCCACCACAUCCCCAAGGCUUUGUCCCCAAGGCCACCAGAGCCCCAAGGCCACCAUCCCCUUGUCCCCAAGCCCUUGUCCCCAUCCCCAUGCCCCCAAGACCUUGUCCCCAGGGCCACCGUGUCCCCAAGGCCACCACAUCCCCAAGACCACCACGUCCCCACCACGAAGUCCCCAAGGCCAUUGUGUCCCCAAGUCCCUGUCCCCAAGGCCACCAGACCCCCAAAGCCUCAUCCCCACCACCAUGUCCCCAAGGCCACCAUCACCAUCCCCAUGUCCCCAAGCCCUUGUCCCCAUCACCACAUCCCCAAGCCUUUGUCCACAGGGCCACCGUGUCCCCAAGACCACCAUGCCCCCAAAUCCUCGUCCCCAAGGCCACCACGUCCCCACCACCAUGCCCCCAAGACCUUGUCCUCAAGCCCACCAUGUCCCCACCACGAAGUCCCCAAGGCCACCAUGUCCCCAAAUCCUCGUCCCCACCACCACGCCCCCAAGCCCUUGUCCCCAAGCCCACCACAUCCCCACCACGAUGUCCCCAAGCCCACCAUGCCCCCAACCCCCUGUCCCCAGGGCACCAACAUCGGCGCGGGCAAGGCGGUGGGCAUCGUGGUGGCCACGGGGGUGAACACGGAGAUCGGCAAGAUCCGCGACGAGAUGGCGGCCACGGAGCAGGACAAGACGCCGCUGCAGCAGAAGCUGGACGAGUUCGGCGAGCAGCUCUCCAAGGUCAUCUCGCUCAUCUGCGUGGCCGUCUGGCUCAUCAACAUCGGCCACUUCAACGACCCCGUCCACGGCGGCUCCUGGAUCCGCGGCGCCAUCUACUACUUCAAGAUCGCCGUCGCCCUGGCCGUGGCCGCCAUCCCCGAAGGGCUGCCGGCCGUCAUCACCACCUGCCUGGCGCUGGGGACGCGGCGCAUGGCCAAGAAGAACGCCAUCGUGCGCAGCCUCCCCUCCGUCGAGACCCUGGGCUGCACCUCGGUCAUCUGCUCCGACAAAACCGGGACCCUCACCACCAACCAGAUGUCCGUCUGCAAGGUGGGGGGCACCGCGGGGCCUUUGGGGGCUCCCCGUGUCCCCU
rnacentral:lncRNA from 1 species